AACUUGAGCUAAUACCGCAUGUGGCAGUAAUGUUAAAGGUGGCCUCUAUUUAUAAGCUACCGCUUAAAGAUGAGCCUGCGUACUAUUAGCUUGUUGGUGGGGUAAUGGCUCACCAAGGCAAUGAUAGUUAGGCGGCCUUAACGGGUGGUCGCCCACACUGGGAUUGAGAUACGGCCCAGACUCCUACGGGAGGCAGCAGUCGAGAAUAGUCUACAAUGGACGAAAGUCUGAUAGUGCAAUUCCGCGUGGAUGAAGAAGCAUUUCGGUGUGUAAAAUCCUUUUCUUUGUGAGCAAAGAUUUGAAGGUGAAUAAUUUUUAAAUUAAGAUAUUAGCAAAGGAAUAAGCCUCGGCUAACUCCGUGCCAGCAGCCGCGGUAAUACGGGGGAGGCAAGCGUUGUCCGGAAUCACUAGGCGUAAAGGGCAAGUAGGCGGAUUGGUAAGUUACGGGUUAAAUCUGGAGGCUCAACCUCCAGCCAGCUUGUGAUACUGCCCAUCUAGAGUCAGACAGGGGAAGACGGAAUUCCCGGUGUAGCGGUGGAAUGCGCAGAUAUCGGGAGGAACACUCAUGGCGAAGGCAGUUUUCUGGGUCAUGACUGACGCUCAAUUGCGAAGGUGUGGGUAUCAAACAAGGAUUAGAUACCCUGGUAGUCCACACAGUAAACGAUAAACACUAGGUGUUGGUGGAGAUAAUCCAUCGGUGCCGUAGCUAACGCGUUAAGUGUUUCGCCUGGGGAGUACGAUCGCAAGAUUGAAACUCAAAGGAAUUGACGGGGACCCGCACAAGCGGUGGAGCAUGUGGUUUAAUUCGAUGCAACGCGAAGAACCUUACCUGGGUUUGACAUGUAUAAGAAUCUUCCAGAGAUGGAGGAGUGCUGGUUUUCCAGAGCUUUUACACAGGUGCUGCAUGGCUGUCGUCAGCUCGUGUCGUGAGAUGUUGGGUUAAGUCCCGCAACGAGCGCAACCCUUAUCCUUAGUUGCCAUCAUUAAGUUGGGGACUCUAGGGAGACUGCCAGCGUAGAAAGCUGGAGGAAGGUGGGGACGACGUCAAGUCAUCAUGGUCCUUAUGUCCAGGGCUACACACGUGCUACAAUGGUUGGUACAAAGAGCAGCGAGACAGUAAUGUUAAGCGAAUCUCAUAAAGCCAAUCUCAGUUCGGAUUGAGGUCUGCAACUCGACCUCAUGAAGUCGGAAUCGCUAGUAAUCGUGCGUCAGAACAGCACGGUGAAUACGUUCCCGGGUCUUGUACUCACCGCCCGUCA
rnacentral:rRNA from 1 species